rnacentral:rRNA from 1 species
AUAUCAAUAAGCGGAGGAAAAGAAACCAACCGGGAUUGCCUCAGUAACGGCGAGUGAAGCGGCAAAAGCUCAAAUUUGAAAUCUGGCCCUGUGGUCCGAAUUGUAAUUUGAAGAAGCGACUUUGGGCCUGGCUCUUGUCUAUGUUCCUUGGAACAGGACGUCACAGAGGGUGAGAAUCCCGUGCGAUGAGAAGACCAGGUUCGUGUAAAGCGUUUUCGACGAGUCGAGUUGUUUGGGAAUGCAGCUCUAAGUGGGUGGUAAAUUCCAUCUAAAGCUAAAUAUUGGCGAGAGACCGAUAGCGAACAAGUACAGUGAUGGAAAGAUGAAAAGAACUUUGAAAAGAGAGUGAAAAAGUACGUGAAAUUGUUGAAAGGGAAGGGCUUGAGAUCAGACUUUGUUUUUCCAUGGCGCUCUUUCGGGGGUGUCCUCUGGGGCUACAGGGCCAGCAUGGGUUUUGCGGGCGAGACGAGGUUUCCGGGAAUGUGGCUCUGCUUCGGUGGAGUGUUAUAGCCCGGGGGACUGGUCGCCAUGCGGGACCGAGGACUGCGGUACUAGGAUGCUGGCAUAAUGAUCUUAAGCCGC